AACCACAAACUUCAUUGAGAAUGGACACAGUUGCUCAUGGUGUCCAGGACUGAGAAUGUUGGCUAAACUAAGACACAAAUUAUGUUUCCAUCACAGUACAUUUAUUGCAGUGGUGGCACUGAGACCUGCAAGAUUU
rnacentral:snoRNA from 1 species